GGCCAAAUCUACAUUUGGAAGUUCCUAGGCUAGGGGUCAAAUCAGAGCUGCAGCUGCCGGCCGACACCACAGCCACAGCCACGCCAGAUCUGAGCCACAUCUGCAACUUAUGCUGCAGCUUGUGACAAUACCAGGUCCUUAACCCACUAAGCAGACCAGGGAUUUAACUCUCAUCCUCAUGGACACUAGUCAGGUUCUUAACCCAUUGACCCACAAUGCAAAUGCUGAUUCUUUAAUAUAUAUAUUUUUUAAAAAGAUAGCAUCCUAAUAAGACAAGAUGCUUGGAAACCACAUACACACAAAGUAAAAUUACAUCUUAAGUUUUUUUUUAACACUAAAACUUUUAAUAAAAACACAGUCACAUUUUACAGCAUCUUUUCACUCAAAAGGAUUUUAAAAUUUACCAAACUAAGAUUUGUUUCACUCAUUACUGAUGUGUGUUCAUCCCUGCAGAGGAAAUGUGGAACGUGAUUAACAGCAAAAGUACACUUCCAAUUGUACUGUCCUUUUGGACUAAAAAAUCUGAAAAGAAUCCUCAGAAGAAAACGUCAAGUGGAGUCAAUUGCAGCUUCACCUUCUAAUUUUUUUUUGUCUUUUUUUAGGGCCACACCUUCAGCAUAUGGAGGUCGAAUCAGAGCUGCAGCUGCUGGCCUACACCACAGCCACAGCAAUGUGGGAUUCCAGCAGUGUCUGCGACCUACACCACAGCUCAUGGCAAUGCUGGAUCCUUAACUCACUGAAUGAGGCUGGGAAUCAAACCCACAUCCUCAUGGAUACUAGUCAGGUUCAUUACCACUGAGCCACAACGGGAACUCCCGCCUUCUUAAACUGACCAAACUAGAAUUCUGCCAGUCUUGAUGCAUGGAGCUUUUCUGUCAGGAGCUGGGUGGGCACAAAACCUUCCACAAUCUCACCCCCACCCUCAAUGUGUCUGCAAUACAGCUUUCUGGAAGCUUCUAUGAUGAACGUCUUGUCUUUGAAAUAAAACAUCCUGUCUAGGGUUCAUCUGUAAUCCUGACCCUUAACGAGAGGAUUGGAACAUAAUGAACCCUAAGGUUAGCCCGGAGAAGAAAUAAUCCUUUCUGCUCGACAAGGGAAAACCCAUACCCAGACUCAACUCUCUUCCUAGAUCCAUGUCCUGUGCUUCUUCCCAUUCAUCUCUUGAUGCAAAACCACAAUUAGAAUAAUCAGUCCAGCAAUCCCACUCCUGGGCAUGCAUCCAGACAAAACUAUAAUUCAAAAAGACACAUGCACUUCUAUGUUCAUUGCAGCACUAUUCACAAUAGCCAAGACGCGGAAACAACCUAAAUAUACAAAGACAGAUGAAGGGAUUAAGAAAAUGUGGCACAUAUAUGCAAUGGAAUACUACUAAGCCAUUAAAAAGAAUAAAAUAAUGCCAUUUAUAGCAACAUGGAUGCAACUAGAGAUUCUCGGACCAGGUGAAGUAAGCCAGGCAGAGAGACAAAUACCAUAUGAUAGCAAUUAUAUGUGGAACUUAAAAUAUGGCACAAACAAGUCUAUCUACAAAAUAGAAAUAGACUCAAAGACAUAGAGAACAGACUUGUGGUUUCCAAGGGGGUGGGGGAAGGAAUGGGAUGAACUGGGGGUUUGGGGUUAGCAGAAGCAAACUGUUACAUUUACGAUGGAUGAGCAAUAAGGUUCUACUAUACCGUGCAGGGAACUACAUUCAGUCUCUUGGGAUAGAACAUGAUGAAAGAUAAUACAAGAGAAGACAUUAUACACAUACACACGCACACAGUGGAAAUGGGCACAACAGCGUAUUUUUUUAUUUUUUUUGCCAUUUCUUGGGCCGCUCCCACGGCAUAUGGAGGUUCCCAGGCUAGGGGUGGAAUUGGAGCUGUAGCCACCAGCCUACGCCAGAGCCACAGCAACGCAGGAUCCGAGCCGCAUCUGCAACCUACACCACAGCUCACGGCAACGCCGGAUCCUUAACCCACUGAGCAAGGCCAGGGAUCGAACCCACAACCUCAUGGUUCCUAGUCGGAUUCGUUAACCACUGAGCCACCACGGGAACUCCAACUACACCUUAAUUUUAAAAAUAAAUACUAAAAAGAUGACACAGCCAUAUGACAUAUACUAACUCAAAUAGCCUAGAGCCAUAUUUUCCAGUCCUUACCUAUUGCCCUCAAAUGGUAUUAUGGGCUGAAUAUUUGUGUUCCCCCACAAUUCAUAUAUUGUAGCCUUAACCCCUGAUGUGAUGGUGUUAGGAGGCAGGGCCUUUCAGAGGUAAUUAAGUCUAGAUGAGGUCAUGAGAGUAGAGCUCCAUGAUGGCAUAAGAAGAGGAGGAGAGCCAGAGCCUGUUCUCUCCAUGUGCACCUGCUGAGGAAAGGCCAUGGGAGCGCACAGAGGAAGGGGGCUGUCCACAAGCCAGGAAGCUAGCUCUCCCCAGGAACUGAAUCUAUCAGGACCUUGAUUUUGGACAUCAAGCCUCCCGGACUAUGGGGAAUAAAUGUUUGCUACUUAAGCCACCACAGUCUGUGGAUUUUGUUAUAGCAGCUUGUGUUGACUGAGACAAAUGGCAUAAAUGCCUUUCUAAACAAAAACACCUGAGGACUGCUAUGCAUCCACUCUCUUAUUUAUUGAAUAAAAAUGAACUGGGUGCUGUAAUGGGCCAGGUGCUGCUAUAGGCAUGGAGGAUUUGCAGUGUGUGUCAGGUGAGGAAAGCCCAAAUCCCUGCUGUCAUGGAGUUUCUAUCCUUCUCCAUGUUGUCUCCCAAGACCACACUGGGAAUAUCCCACCAAAUUAGCUAGUUUUAUAAAAGGACCAAAUUUGUGUGUGCACAUCAUUGGUAAGCAGAUUCACAGUGUACCUUGAUUCUAAAGGCAUGUUCUAAAGACAUUACCUCCCACACCCAAGCUGUCAUCUCACAGAAAUGGAAAUGGGCACUUGCUGGGAGGAACUAUGAACUUUGUAUUUAUACAUCUUUGUAUUAUUUAACUAGUUUAAAUGAACAUGUAUUUGUUUUGUAACUAAAUAUAAUUCCAUAGAAGUUUUUUUAAACUUUACCAUCAAUCCUUCGAUAUUCCAGAGAGACAAAAGCAAGACGGAUGGAAAUGAAUGAGGUCCAGAGAAAGACCCUGGGUUAUGAGAAAAGAACUGCCUCGCAUAAACGCCUUCCCCAGUAUCUAAUGCAAUAACAACAACGUUUGCUACUAGCAACUAACAAGUGUAGGGGCACAGCCAAUACAGGAAGCAAGCCUCAAAAAGUGACAGCUAAGGAGUUCCAGCUGUGGCUGCAGUGGGUUAAGAAUCUGACUGCAGUGUGUAGGGUUGCUGCAGAGGCACGGGUUCGAUUCUUACCUGGCGCAGUGGGUUAAAGGAUCCAGUGUUGCCACUGGUGCGUGUAGGUUGCAGUGAUGGCUGGGAUUCAAUCCCUGGAACUUACAUAUGCUAUGGGUGUGGCAAUUAAAAAAAAAGUGACAGCUAGAAAAGGAAGUCAAUUCUGGGAUGGAACUGAGCAGCAGAAUGGCAAGGCCAUUAACUACAUCCUGAUUUCUCAAAAUCUCUGGGGAUAAGUCACAGCAAUCAUGAGAAUUCUCACUUAAAAUUCCAAACCUGGUAAGAAGAAGGUUGAAGCUAUCCUAGCGUUUUCCUUCUUUACUGGGAAGUAAUGGAAAUAGCCACAAGCUGCUUGAAAGAAACAGAGGAAGUGGACAAGGAGGCUGUCUCUGGCAGAACUGCAGACUUCAUGGUAUGUUCUGAAUGCGGCAUGGCUCAGAGGCCAGAAGUUACCUAUCCAGCAAAAAGAGACCUAUUCUCCACCCAAAUGAGGUGGUGUGAACACUUGUCUGGGACAACUAAUAAAACUUCUGAAGGGACAGCAGAGCCCAAGCUAUCUUUUAACAAAGCCUGCCUUAGGUGAGUUCUCUCUGUUCCCUUGCUCUCAGGCUAUAGAAAAAACAAAACAAAACAAAACUGAAUAGCUCUUAAAGUGUAGACCUUAAGGAAAAAAUAAAUGAUACUGUGAGAUGAGAGUCAAGACAUCACUAACACUGUAAAAGUAAAGAGAAAAUAUAAUAUAGAUAGAACUCCCAAAGCAUGACCAAGAUAAAAAGGAAAUGGAAUGGCAACAAGACAAGUCUAUACAAGACACACACAGAGACACACAUACCAUAUGGCAUGCAAAUAAUCAACCUAGAAAAUAUAACUCAAGUAAAAAAAGAAAAAUUUCUCACAUGUGCAUUUAACUAAAGAAUAACUGAAUAAGAACACGAGUUCAAAGAUGAUCAAAGGAACCCUCCUACACAUUUGGUGGGAAUGUAAAUUGGUACAACCACUAUGGAGAACAGUAUGGAGGUCCCUUAAAAACCUAAAUAUAGAACUACCAUAUAACCCAGCAAUGCCUCUCCUGGGCAUAUAUCUGGAGAAAGGCAUAGUUCGGAAAGAUACAUGUGUCCCCAGUGUUCAUAGGAUCCAUAUUCACAAUAGCCAAGACACGGAAGAAACCUAAACGUCCAUCAACAGAGACAUGGGUAAAGAAAAUGUGGUACAGAUCUACAAUGGAAUACUACUCAGCCAUAAAAAAGAAUGAAAUAAUGCCAUUUUCAGCAACAUAGAUGGAAGUAGAGAUUAUCAUAUUAAGUGAAGUAAGCCAGGUAGAGAAAGACAAAUAUCAUAUGAUAUCACUUAUAUGUGGAAUCUAAUUAAAAAUAACACAAAAGAACUUGUUUGUAGGAUAGAAAUAGACUCAAAGAUUUUGAGGUCAAACUUAGGGUUAUCAAAGGGGAAACUGAGGGGGGAGGGAUAAAUUGGGAGGGUGAGAUUGGUAUAUACACACUACUAUAUACCGGGUAGAUAACUAACAGGGACCUACUAGCACAGGGGGUUCUACUUAAUGGCCUGUAAUAAUCUACAUGGAAAAAAAGAACUGAUAUAUGUAUAUGUAUAAUUGAUUCACUUAGCUGUAAACCUAAAGCUAAUUCAAUACUGCAAAUCAACUAUACCCCAAUAAAAUAAAGAUGACCAAAAGCAGCAGAAUGAGGAACUCCCCCAGUGCUGUAACAGGAUCAGUGGCAUCUCUGCAGCACCACGAUGCAGGUUCAAUCCCCAGCCCAGCACAGUGAGUUAAAGGAUCUGGUUUUGCCAUAGCUGUGGCAUAGGUCACAAAUAUGAUCCAGAUCUGACCCCUGGCCUGGGAACUCAUAUGCCAGAAAUGAAAAC
rnacentral:lncRNA from 1 species